GUUCGAUAUGAGACGCGCAAGUUCGGAUACUCGGAUACUUCCAUGUUAGAAUAACAUAAUUUCUUUAUAUCUUCCCUUUUUUUUGGUGUACAAUAAAACAACGCUAUCAAAAGUGGACAGUACAUCAUCAAUGGCUUUGUUCCUUUUGCCUUAGUCAGUAUAACCUAUUACUAUGGCAUCUCUCACUCGGAGAGAGAAGCAGAGAUGUCCCACAGCAGGUAAUCGGAGGUAUUUGGUAAGGGAUGCAUGAUUUUUCUUAACAAACAUGAUUUUCCAAGUUAACCAUUUAUUUAGUUGUUUGGAUAGGCAGGGAGUAGGUUUUGCAUUGUUUUAGUAUCAAUUUACUAUUUGAUGACUCAUAGUCUCGAACAACAUAAAGUUGAAUUCAUGAUUGCGUGAUAGUCACGGUUAUUUUCUCCAGUUUGCAGUAUUAAUACAGCAUGUUAUUGUUUUUUAUUUCGCAGACAGCAGAUGCUCCUCAAUGUAAAUCUACCAGACUCUUUUCCGAGACAGUGAGCAAUACAGUGCUACGCGAGUACUGUCAUCCAUCAGAGCGCCCAUCCCCAGAGGGUGCGGGAUCCAACACCGACUCUCACCGUGCUCUGUUUCCGAAGAUGGAGGUCCCAUCCAGGGGGACUUUGACAGGAACUUGUUACAGUUCUGGAGGUGCUGUUAGAGCCACUGGAUUUGGUACUGUUGGACCCCCCGUGGUAGGAAGCUGGAGCCUUCGUAAAUCUGACGGUAAAGUUAUUUGUGAGCAUUGCACGGCGACUGUGUCCGCGCUGAAGAGACUAGCCCUGAGCUUCGUCAUUCCUCAAUAUAGCACUUGCAAGGACUCAGCCUUAUCUGCUUUUCUCCACAACAAGCUCCAAGCCCACAGUUGUACCGUAGACACCCAGAAUCUGGAGGACGAGCAGGGUGUCUGUGACGUCUGCGGUGCCCACCUGAGCCAGCUAAAGCAGGAGGCCGUUCACCUGGUCUUAGCCAAGGAAGAGCGCACCAGGUGGGCUGCCACGCUUGCUGCCAACCCUGGGCACACCUCCGCCAGGACAGCCCCCUCCAGCCCCCACAUCUCUUCCAGGACCCAUUGCUCCCCUGCUAAGCCCUCCUCUGGACCGGGAACCACCGACCCCAUGGCCCCGACUAAAGCACACCUGUCAGGUUCCAACAGGACCCAAAGCCCCCAGAGGAGCCACCCUAGAGGGGCCGUCAAGCCCACCGCUGCUGGGAUGUGUCGAUGGGUGGAGGAGCAGCAGCAACUCGCCUCUUCCAUAGCAAUGUCCGGUAAUGACAGGGUUGCCACCUUCCCCUACCAGUUUUCAGAGUUCUCAGAAGGUCAGAAUGAAAAUGUGCUUGUUCGGAGGAGCCCAAUUCCCGAGGCCUUGUCCUUCCUGGUCAGGUACGUGUAUAGCUACCAAGGAGACACAAGUUCCUUCCAUUGGCUUUACUAUGAUAAAACAGCGUUACAUUGCGAGUCCGUAAUUCCGUAUCUGUUUCCACCUCCUACCUUUCCGCAGGGCAGCUCAGAAACUGAGCCUGACUGUAAGGAGGAAGGGCCAAACGACCGCCCACUCUUCUGCGUGUUCUGCCCCAGUUCCCACCUGCUACCGGGACAUCAUCCAGAGGACUCCCCCCCGAGUCCCCGCUUGCCUCAUUAAAGCUGCCAACGGAGUCACCGGCGGCAGCGUCGGCAAGGUGAACUGCUGUACUCGUGUUUCACCUCAGCUUUCAUCGACUGGGUUUUUCAUUUAAAACACCUACGUUGUUCUUCAUGACUUGAUUAAAUAAAAUGUCAAUGAAUGU
rnacentral:lncRNA from 1 species